rnacentral:rRNA from 1 species
UACAGAGACUGCAAGCGUUAUUCGGAUUCACUGGGCGUAAAGGGUGCGCAGGCGGCCAUGUGUGUCAGGUGUGAAAGCCCGAGGCUCAACCUCGGAAUUGCGCCUGAAACUACAUGGCUAGAGUACUGGAGAGGGUAGCGGAAUUCCCGGUGUAGAGGUGAAAUUCGUAGAUAUCGGGAGGAACACCGGUGGCGAAGGCGGCGGCCUGGGUUGACACUGACGCUGAGGCGCGAAAGCGUGGGGAGCAAACAGG